CCAUUAAUUCAUUCUGUACACAAGGCAUUCUUGGUAACCACGGAGUAACAAUGUGGUGUCAUAAAUAUAUUCCAUGUAGUGGUUUCAGGAAAUAUCUCACUAAAACAAAUUCCAGCCUUGAGAUUACAAAUAAAAUUCGUCCUGAUACAAUUGAAUGCCACUUAGCAGUAACUAACCAGCAGCAUGAAAAUUUCAGAAAUCACUAUUACAAAAUUGCUGCUGAACUUGAAUACUAACUACUGCGGUACUGCUGAACUUGAAACUAAAUAACUGUCGAACUUGAUCUUAAAUUAGCUUAACUUGCAGGUGACCAGAGAUCUCCCAUCAGCUUCAUCUGUUCACCAAUCUCUCUAGGACCCCAGCGACUAAAACAUUCUUAUCCACGGGCUGGAAGCAACAUAGUAUCCUAUUAAUUGUACGGUAGCAUUGAGGUCCACUUUUCUUCUCACAACCUGGAUUUUGCUACUGGUUAUUUGUAAAAGAUGUUUUGAAAUUUCAAUUUAAAACUACACGUACAUACCAUAAAUACCAAGACGCGACUCUUUAUCCAUCAUACAUUAGCCAUCAACCACUUGAACGGAUACCUGAAAAACAGAAUAUUUUCAGUUCUCGUAAGUAUAAGAACAAACAUGUAGAGGACACCAACACACAAGCACAUAUAACACUUUAGGAUUAACAGGAUUUCAAUACCCUAAACUGGUAACAAUGUCGAAAUCAAAGAUAUCGCAGAGGGAUUUUGCAUGUACCAAAUUCAUCAGAAUCACAUGAACCAAUAAUACGAUGUUGCAGGUAUGAAUCAAAAGUACACAGAAACAAAACAAAAAGGCAAAACUCUGUAACUAUUGUUUCAAUGCACACUAAACUAUUUUCCUAUCUUGUAGAGCUAUCCAUUCAAAUAUGGCUAUUCACACCAAAAUACGAGACUAGUGCAGCGGCCACUCAUGAUUUGUAGUCACCAUGGGACUUGAGUUGCUUAGUUGCUUAAACAGUCUACUGUACUCACCAUUACUAAUUGAAAAUUUGAUUGUAAGGCAAAGCAACCAUAUCACUAAAGACACGAGGACAAGUAAUUCAGAAUUUAAUAAAUAUAUAGACUGCUAAUUUAUGUCGAUCAUUAUUGCCAAACAAUCUAUGGUGCCUUUCUUUUUCUUGCAGAUUGCUAAGUAAAAUGGCAGGCAAGCAAAUUUAAGUGACUCCAAAUUUGCAUCUAUAAUGAAAGAUAUGUAUAUGUGCGAGAGUAGCGGGCAUUCAAAUAUAAAAGACUGUAUCAAUAACAAGCCACCACGGCAAGGAUACAGACCCCAACGUGCAGCUCAACUUUUCAUUUGAUAUUCAGGUUUAAGGCACUUCCCUUAUUAUUCUGAACAUCACCAGCCAUCCUACAAACAGACAGAGAAUUAGCAUAAGAAUCAAGAAGCAGAACAUAAUUUCCAACUGAGCCAUCUCCUCUGGCAAAAUAUGAAUCAUUGCGAAGGUGAGAUGGCCUUUAGAAGAGCAAAAGAAAAAUUAGUUUCACACCAUGACACCACGAUCAGUACAGUUCAGCAGAUUUAGAAGCUAGUCAGGCCUUAUUCGCCCCAAAUCAUAUUCAGGAUAAGCAAUCAACACGUACAGUUCUUCAUUUCUGCAAUAGAUAGUGGAGGCUUGUCGGCAUAGAUUGUUGAUGUCUUAGCACGACCUGAAUCUUGUUCAGCAUACCUCUUUCUUAUCUAGAAAUCCGAGGUAUAUCUGAAUAAAAGAGAAAAUAGGAACAACAUGACCAGUCCAGUAAAGAAAC
rnacentral:lncRNA from 1 species